UACGUAGGUGGCAAGCGUUGUCCGGAAUUACUGGGUGUAAAGGGCGUGUAGGCGGGGAGGCAAGUCAGAUGUGAAAUCCCGAGGCUUAACUUCGGAGCUGCAUCUGAAACUGUUUCUCUUGAGUACUGGAGAGGAAAGUGGAAUUCCUAGUGUAGCGGUGAAAUGCGUAGAGAUUAGGAGGAACACCAGUGGCGAAGGCGGCUUUCUGGACAGUAACUGACGCUGAGGCGCGAAAGCGUGGGUAGCAAACAGGAUUAGAUACCCUGGUAGUCCACGCUGUAAACGAUGGAUACUAGGUGUGGGAGGUAUCGACCCCUUCCGUGCCGGAGUUAACACAAUAAGUAUCCCACCUGGGGAGUACGGCCGCAAGGCUGAA
rnacentral:rRNA from 1 species